rnacentral:rRNA from 1 species
GACGAACGCUGGCGGCGUGCUUAACACAUGCAAGUCGAACGGAAAGACCCUGCUUUUGUGGGGUGCUCGAGUGGCGAACGGGUGAGUAACACGUGAGUAACCUGCCCUUGACUUUGGGAUAACUUCAGGAAACUGGGGCUAAUACCGGAUAGGAGCUCCUGCUGCAUGGUGGGGGUUGGAAAGUUUCGGCGGUUGGGGAUGGACUCGCGGCUUAUCAGCUUGUUGGUGGGGUAGUGGCUUACCAAGGCUUUGACGGGUAGCCGGCCUGAGAGGGUGACCGGCCACAUUGGGACUGAGAUACGGCCCAGACUCCUACGGGAGGCGGCAGUGGGGAAUAUUGCACAAUGGGCGGAAGCCUGAUGCAGCAACGCCGCGUGCGGGAUGACGGCCUUCGGGUUGUAAACCGCUUUCGCCUGUGACGAAGCGUGAGUGACGGUAAUGGGUAAAGAAGCACCGGCUAACUACGUG